UUUUGAUCCUUCGUUCUCGGUGAUUCUGACCAACUUGAAAACAAAUGCAACCAGCCAGGUGAUCAUGGAUAGAUGUCGCAUGUAUCUGGAUGCUGGUAUAUUGGGCCAUGAUUUGGGGACAUGUGACAUGAUGUUCAUCCCGGUUUGUGAGAACAACCACUGGCAC